AGGUUUGUCGAUUUUAUUUAUGUUUUCAAAAAACCAACUUUUUGGUUCAUUGAUCGUUUGUAUCGUAUUUCUUCUACUAAUUUUGGGUUGUUUUGCUCUUGAUUCUAGAAUUUCUGCUUGAUUUUAAAAAUUAAUCUCUUUGUUAAAUUUAUCUGAUAGAAUUCUGAAUUCCUUUUCUAUAUUGUCUUGAAUUUGUUUGAGUUUAAGGACAUAUUCUACUAAAAGAUAAAAAUAUAUUUGUGCAUCUAUGCAAAAGAAUCAAGUCACUUAUUAGGGAAAGAAAAUCAAACUGACGCUAGACUUCUCAACAAUACCACUUCAUACUAGAAAACAGUGGAGCCACAUAUUUCAGAU
rnacentral:lncRNA from 1 species